GACGAACGCUGGCGGCGUGCUUAACACAUGCAAGUCGAACGGUGAAGCGCCUUCCUUUUUGGUGGGUGUGGAUGAGUGGCGAACGGGUGAGUAACACGUUAGUAACCUGCCCCCUUCUUCUGGAUAACCGCAUGAAAGAGUUGCUAAUACGGGAUAUUCUGGGUCUGUCGCAUGAUGGGUCUGGGAAAGAUAUUGUUUCGGUGGGGGAUGGGCUCGCGGCCUAUCAGCUUGUUGGUGGGGUGAUGGCCUACCAAGGCGGUGAUGGAUAGCCGGCCUGAGGGGGUUGACGGUCACACUGGGACUGAGACACGGCCCAGCCUCCUACGAGAGGCAGCAGUGGGGAAUAUUGCACAAUGGGCGCAAGCAUGAUGCAGCGACGCCGCGUGAGGGAUGGAGGCCUUCGGGUUGUGAACCUCUUUCGCCAGUGAAGCAGGCCUGCCUCGUUUGUGGGUGGGUUGACGGUAGCUGGAGAAGAAGCGCCGGCUAACUACGUG
rnacentral:rRNA from 1 species